AUUGAACGCUGGCGGCAUGCCUUACACAUGCAAGUCGAACGGCAGCACGGGUGCUUGCACCUGGUGGCGAGUGGCGAACGGGUGAGUAAUACAUCGGAACGUACCUUAUCGUGGGGGAUAACGCAGCGAGAGCUGUGCUAAUACCGCAUACGCCCUGAGGGGGAAAGCGGGGGAUCGAAAGACCUCGCGCGAUUAGAGCGGCCGAUGCCUGAUUAGCUUGUUGGUGGGGUAAAAGCCCACCAAGGCGACGAUCAGUAGCUGGUCUAAGAGGACGAUCAGCCACACUGGGACUGAGACACGGCCCAGACUCCUACGGGAGGCAGCAGUGGGGAAUUAUGGACAAUGGGGGCAACCCUGAUCCAGCAAUGCCGCGUGAGUGAAGAAGGCCUUCGGGUUGUAAAGCUCUUUUGUCAGGGAAGAAACACCGGCUCUAACACAGUCCGGGAAUGACGGUACCUGAAGAAUAAGCACCGGCUAACUACGUGCCAGCCGCCGCUGUAA
rnacentral:rRNA from 1 species